UUAGUGUAUACUUAUAAAAAUUCAAAGUGUAUACAGAUACACUAUAUAUGCAUUGUAUAUGAGAUAUGCUAAUUAUACAUCUCAUAUACAAAGACCUUCAGAGUCCAAACCCCCCUUCUCACCCUUCCAGCAUUUUCGCCCUUUCCAUUCCCCCAUUUGUUUCAUUUUACUUUGUCUUUAACUUAUUUUUUGUUCCUUCUUUUUCAAUUUAUACCCGUUAAACACAUUCCUCUUCAAGUCAGAGCUUUCUUUUCCCUUCCUCUUUCCAUUCUGGUGAUUUAGGAGUGCCUUUUGAAAGAAACUUGCAAAGAUUUGAGGAAAGAAUCUCAUUGAAGAAUCCGUUCAAGUUCAAGAUAUUAAAAUAGCGUCGAGAUUUGAGUGUUGGUUUCUUGUCGCUAUCAUUGGAGUUUUCUCAUUGCAAUCACUGCGUAUUUCUGGAGUUUGUUUGGCCUAUUUACUGCUGUUGAAGCUCUAUUCGUUAAUCAUUAUUUGGAUUUCUGGUUUUCUUAUGAAUUUGGUACUCCACAAACAGGUUAGUUUCCUGAACGACGCAUUAUGAUUCCUUUACGUGUUGGUUGUUGUUAGAA